rnacentral:lncRNA from 1 species
CUCUGGGAAACUGGUAUGAAUCAAAUGACAAUUUAUAAUGUACCACGGAGUCUGUCACUUUCUAACUAAAAAGGGUUUUGUUCUGUUUUCCAUCCACAGUAUCCUCUCCAUGUUUUAGAGGACUUGAGUUUUGGAAUGGUUGUAAAGAUUACUGGGUUUUGGAAUCGAGCAGUGGAACAGUGGCAGCCUUUCUUCACUCGACUAUUUCUCAGAACACUCCUUUUUUUUAGAGAAUUUUAACAUUUAUUUUUUAGUUAUAGGUGGACACAACAUCUUUGUUUGUAUGUGGUGCUGAGGAUCAAACCCGGGCUGCAUGCAUGCCAGGCGAGCGCGCUACUGCUUGAGCCACAUCCCCAGCCCCCAGAACACUCCUUUUUGCCCAGUGGCAUAGGGCCUCCUCCCAGGACUGGUGGAGAAAUGGACAGGUCCUUCUAUUUUGAGAUGACAUAAUCUUGGGCCUGUGCACAUGAUUCAGUGACAGUUUAUCUUCUGAUCACUUGUUGGCCUCGUUGGGAAGAUUAGGAGCUCUCUUAGUGUCUUUAAUGGAAUCUUAUCAGGUCAUUUAUAAAUUCAUUCAUUUAAAAUGCCUGGGGGUUGGGCACAGUGGCACACAGCUUGGCUGUUGAGGCUGAGGCAGGGGAUCCUAAGUUCAAAGUCAGCCUCAGCAAAAAUGAGGCAUUAAGCAACUCAGUGAGGCUCUGUCUCUAAAUAAAAUACAAAAUAGGGCUGGAGAUGUGGCUCAGUGGUCUAGUGCUCCUGAGUUCAUUCCCUGGUGUCAAAAAAUAAAAUACUUUGGGGUGCUUCUUAAAUAUUUCAGUGGCCUCUGAGAGGCAGAGUAGUGUAAUGGUAAAGAACACAGCUCUGUAGCCAUACUGCCUGGGUUUGAAUCCCAUCUCUACCACUUACACUUCAUGACUUUGGGCAAAUUAUUUUACCUUUCUGCCUCAAUUUCCUCACCUGUAAAAUGGGGAUAUAUUAAUGAUAUAAUACUUGAUAGGGUUGAUGUGCCUGUAAAUGCUUAGAGCAGUACCUGGCAAUAAUAAGCACUAACUGCUCUCAGAGAUUUCCUGUCCUCAGGGAGCUUACAGCUUCGCAGGGGAGACCAAGCCAACAUGAAUUAACUCCCCAGAUGGAUGCAAAACACCAAGCCUAUCAAGGGCCUAUGAUAAAGGGUUAGAUUCUCAGUGGGAUUAGAG